ensembl:lncRNA
AGGAUGAGUUUGACCCCUUUAAGAGUGGCAGUAGGCGGAGCCACAGAUAACCACGCCCUCCAGCGGUUUUCCAAUUCCAACUGCUCCGUUUGAGUUCAUGAGUGUGUGUUCAUAUUCAUGUUCAGUGUGUGUGUGUGUUCAGUUUGAGUGUGAGUGUAUGUUCAGUGUGAGUGUGUGUGUGUUCAUUUGAGUGUGUGUUCAGUUUGAGUGUGUGUGUGUUCAGUUUGAGUGUGUGUUCAGUGUGUGUGUGUGUUCAGUUUGAGUGUGUGUUUUGAGUGUGUGUGUGUGUGUUCAGUGUGUUCAGUGUGUGUGUGUGUGUGUUCAGUUUGUGUGUGUGUUCAUAUUCAUGUUCAGUUUGUGUUCAUGUUCCGUUUACUCAUAUGCCAAAAUCUGAACAGUAAAGACUUGUGUGUACCAGUGUACCUGUGUGUGUUUGUGUGUGUGUGUGUGUGUGUGUGUGUGUACCACUGUACCUGUGUGUGUGUGUGUGUGUGUACCACUGUACCUGUGUGUGUGUGUGUGUCUCAAUGACAUUUGAAUAUCUAUCAGACCCCCCAGGAUUGUGAAUUCACCGCAGCAUUUCAAUUUGAACCAAUCACCGCAACUUUCCCGCAAAUGUGAACUCAUUUCUAUACACACACACACACACUCAUUUAUAUAUACACACACACUCA